UACGGAGGAUCCAAGCGUUAUCCGGAUUUAUUGGGUUUAAAGGGUGCGUAGGCGGGAGAUUAAGUCGGUGGUGAAAUUUUGCAGCUCAACUGUAAAAGUGCCAUUGAUACUGGUUUCCUUGAGUGUGGAUGAAGUAGGCGGAAUUUGUGGUGUAGCGGUGAAAUGCAUAGAUAUCACGAGGAACUCCGAUUGCGCAGGCAGCUUACUAAACCAUAACUGACGCUCAGGCACGAAGGCGUGGGGAUCAAACAGGAUUAGAUACCCCUGUA
rnacentral:rRNA from 1 species